AUUGAUUCAUUCUUUGCUCUUCUAAUUAUAAGAGGAAGUGCAAAUUAUGAAUAAUGGA
ensembl:miRNA gga-mir-12236 gga-mir-12236